GGGACGAGACUAAAACUGCUAGUUGUGCGCACCCUAGCCACGUUGGGAGCGCAGCAAACGGCUCCGUAACACGUAGUCAAUCUAACCUUAGGACGGGGAUAACCCCCGGGAAACUGGGGCUAAUACCCGAUAGGCGAUAAAAGCCUGGAAUGGCAUUUCACCUAAAGGGUUUUAGUAACACGCUACUAAAACUGCCUAAGGAUGAGACUGCGGCCGAUCAGGUUGUUGGUGGGGUAACGGCCUACCAAGCCUAUGACCGGUACGGGCCCUGAGAGGGGGAGCCCGGAGAUGGGAACUGAGACAAGGUCCCAGACCCCACGGGGUGCAGCAGUUGCGAAACCUCUACAAUGCACGAAAGUGUGAUAGGGUUAUCCCGAGUGCCGUCCGAUGAGGAUGGCUUUUCCUCGGUGUAAGAACCCGGGGGAAUAAAGGGGGGGCAAGACUGGUGUCAGCCGCCGCGGUAAUACCAGCCCCCUAAGUGGUAGGGACGAUUAUUUGGCCUAAAGCGUCCGUAGCCGGCUUAGUGAGUCUUUCGUUAAAUCCGGCGACUUAAUCGUCGGUCUGCGAGAGAUACUGCUAGGCUUGAGGACGGGAGAGGUCGACGGUAUUCCGGGGGUAGGGGCAAAAUCCUAUAAUCCUCGGAGGACCACCAGUGGCGAAGGCGGUCGACUAGAACGUGCCUGACGGUGAUGGACGAAAGCUGGGGGAGCAAACCGGAUUAGACACCCGGGUAGUCCCAGCCGUAAACGAUG
rnacentral:rRNA from 1 species